GUUUGUCCUUCUAUCUAUUGGUCUCUUCUAAAGAUAUCAUUUAAACACAAGUUCUGAAAGAAGUGUGGAUUAUAUAAGAAUGUAAGAAGUGAUUGGCUGUAAAGAUGAAAAUGGUCACAUCAGGGGUGGUAUAGUACGUCAUCAACAGGUGCACGCAACACUUCCCGAUGCGGCUUUUUUAUGUCAAAACACCUCGAUUCGAUCACAACAAAAACACCUGAGAUAUUCUGUUUAUCAGAAUUAAAUUCUGAAGCAGCUAAACACUUGGGGUUCAGCAGUAUGAUAUCCGUAGACAGAUGAACAUAAAAUGCAUAUAGAAAUUCAUGCAUUUCUCGGGAAUAAAAUGACACGUCCAAAAAAUCAGAAUUGUAGAAAGAACAAUACCUGCUUGUUGUGGAUGUUUGUGAAAAAGUCAGAAAUGAAGACCACAAAAGUAGUUGUUGUUUGAGGUUCACUCACUGGCAAUAUGUGCAGACACCGUUUAAAACAGCUCACUGUUACGUGUGACCACUACCGUACAAUAUUUAGCCAUGGACAGCUUUUGUAGACGGAAUUUAAUGUGAUUUUGCGUGACUUCAAACAAUUGUGAUUUUUUUUAUUGAAACAUGCUUUGUUUUGUCUGCCUGUGUUGAAGUCACAGAGUCUUGUCAGUGCCUCUCCUUUCUUCUAAAUAACAUUUGACAGAUUUUGGUGAAAGGCAACAGCAGUAUUAAACUUUGUAUGAAAUGUAGUUGACAUAAUGCUCAUAACGGGUAUAACACAACAAUGUAAAUAUUCUUGUUAUCUCUAUGUUUCGGUCAAUAAACGUUCACAGAUUAUACUACAUUGCCACUUUA